rnacentral:misc_RNA from 1 species
UAACAUUAGACAUAUGUUUGCGAAACAAAUCGAUUCAGAUGGCUGUUCUGGCAUCUACAUUCAGUGAAUUCCAUUGAUUGACAGCAUUGGGUACAAAUAAUGUUAUUAGAAAAUCUAAUAUACACUUAGAAACAUUAAACUGAUCGUUGCUUCGUGUGUUGCAUUCUGGUAUGUUUUCCGCUUGCUAGAGAUCAAAUAAAUAUCAAAUAAAUAGUCAGGCGAAGACAAAAUUUGGCAACCCAGUGACAAUUAGAACAGCACACAAUUAAACCUUUUCCAGUUUGUCUGCAUCAUGCACAAAACAACCACCCCACACAAUUGAAGCAUAUUCAUGGAGUUUACAAUACCAUCAAUGUCCUCGGACCAGUUGAGGUUCUGUGAUAAUAAAUGGCGAUGAGUAGGAAGAAACUCCACGCUAUCGCCUUGAAAAAAUAAUUUAGGUAAAACAGAGUUAUGUUUCCUAGUAAAGAAAACAACUUCUUAUGUCCACACAUUUACGACACAAAGUUUAUGUUUUAGUUUAUAUAAUUCGCUAUUCCCCUCUUUUACACAUAACAAUUAAACAAUGGCGAGGUAUUCAGACAUGCAUUGAACCUCUGUUGACAGAGGUCUCUGGCUUCUCUUGAAUACGUCAAUGCAAUGUCCCCACGUCCGUCCAUUUGUUUUUUUUUUUGUCAAUAUACUUGUUGUGACUCAAAAAAUCAAAUAAUGUUCAAUAUCACGCUUUAAAAUUUAGUAUAGAACCUAGAAGACAUUUCACAAAAGAAUAAACAACUUACGACCAAGUUAACAAAUGCAUGUUCAUAAAAUAAUCAAUAUUUGAAUAUAAUGGCUGUAAAAUUUAAUUACUAAAAUCAAAAUAAGGGUAAAUCAAUGGUUUAAAAUAAAUCUUGUUUGUCAAAGAUCCUUCUACGAGCCUGAAAAUAUUUGUCGUCAGUCCUUUGGUAAAAAAAAAAACCCAGCUGGUUCUUAGAGGGAGAUGCCCAAAAACAGUGAUAUAAUAUCAUUUAAUUUGUUUGUAAGAAAAUCUGAUAUCGGAACAGGGCAUUCUCUUUUGAGAAGUGGACAGGCACAGCAUUGAUUCGUUGAUGAAGGCUAUGCCUGUCCACUUCUUAAAAGAAAAUGCGUAAGAGGGUAGCUGCAGGUUUGUAGCUUCCAGUUUGAAAAAACUUCACUGUAGGUCGUCCAUCGGCAUGGGGGGAGGUCGAUCAUCCGAUUUUUUUCAGACACGAAGCUACUAGCCUACAGCAGCUUACAGGUGUUACAACAGGUUGAACACUACUAUUAAUUUUUACUUUAUAUUAUUACAAAAAUUACGCAAAUUUAGAUGCAAUCUUCUGGGAAAAUCGCUCGUUACAACUUUCAAAACAAUACUCCCUUAACAAUUUAGUAGCUAAAACACACAGCCAUCUACACAGGCACGAGAGUUUACGUCAAAGUUACACAUGUGCUUGAAAAUCAAGUCCGAGUCUUUUCAUCCCCUUCCCUUCGCAGAAAUAACAGGCAUCAAAAAUGCAAUUGUGCAGUUUUGGUAGGAAUACAUAGUACAAUUCAAUACUGUAGUGACACCAGGAAGUCAGCCUAAUAAAACUUGCGGGAUAGCUCAGUGAAGCUGGGGCUUUUUGUUACAACUCUGACACUAUUUUACUGUCUUUGGAAUGGAGAAACUUCAAAAGUGUUGUGAAAGAUACGAGGGAUUUUUCAAAACUCGAUUUGAAAAAUUAGGAUCUUUUAUAUCAAAAUAUCCAAAAUCAGUGAUGAGUACAUGUGUUGUAGUGAAUAGUCUGUUUCUGAUUGGAUUGUUGAACUUUUCAACUGAAAACGAUGUUGAAAUGAUGUACACUCCAAGUAACAGUCAGGCAUACAAUGACAGAGAAUUCCUUAGAAACGUGUACUCAGAUCCAACGACGAGCAAUUUCGAGUCUUACCAGCUUCAAAACUUUGGAAGAUACGUUGAUAUAAUAAUUAUUUCCAAAAACAAUUCAAACAUCAUGAAUCAACAACAUAUUGAUGAAAUUAAUAAAAUUAACCAGUUUAUACAAAACUCAAUAGUGGUCAAUGAAACAGAUGGAACGACUUACAGAUUUGCUGAUGUUUGCGCGUUGAGCAGUUCUGGGUGUUCUGUACUUGGUGGAGUUGUUUUGGAUUCUGAAUUUCAGCGACAGUUAAUCCAGAGAAAUGUCUCUUAUCCUAUGCAUAAUUCCCAAUUAUUGUCUCCAAUAUUUGCGAAUGCCAAGAGUCAUAUGGAAAAACUUGCAUUUACUAUUGGGGUAAAAUUAAGAUAUUACCUUCGGCAAAAUAGUUCUCUUUCUAAAACUUGGGAAAAUGCGUAUCUGAAUCAGAUAACCUAUUUAAAAACUAAUUUUACAGAUAUUGCUUAUGCUAAUUCUGAGUCUCUUGAAACAGAACUAAACAAAGAUACAAGCAGUGACAUAACAUUUUUUAGUUUGACAUUCACAUUAAUGAUGACAUAUGCUUGCCUGGCUUCAGCAUCGCCUUUGCCGAAAUGUAACAAUAUUGCAAACAGAGCAAAUCUGGGAAUAGCAGGAGUAAUCACUCCAGUCUUAGGAAUAGGAGCAGCGCUUGGUUUUGUUAGUGGAAUUGGCAUUAAGUUUACGAACAUAGUAGGAGUUAUGCCAUUCCUGAUAAUAGCAAUAGGCAUUGAUGACAUGUUUAUAUUGAUGUCUGGAAUGGCGGGGGCACCGUCCCUGUUGAAUGCAUCAAUUGAAGACAGGAUGAAAAGCAUGCUGAGGACGAGCGGAAUAUCUAUUACCAUAACGUCAGUUACUGAUCUCCUUGCAUUUGGUGUUGGGGCCACCUCGGUGUUUCUCAGCAUAAGAAAUUUUUGUAUUUAUACAGGAGUUGCAGUAAUGUUUUGUUACAUUAACCAGCUGUUUUUCAUGUGUCCUGCAAUUUGUCUCAAUGAAAUUCGUACAUCAAAAAGACGACAUUAUUGUGUAUGCUGUCUGGAAAUAAAGGAAAGAAAUUCUGAACAGAACAGCAAAAACCCAAUAGAUAAAUUAUGUGCAAAUACUACCGAGUACCUUGUUAACAGUGGGCAUCGCUGUUGUUGUGAUUUUGGCCGUCACUUUUAUUUUCAUGCCGAGACCUUUGUUAGUUAUAAUUGUGGCAUCAACUGUUAUUAGCAUAAUGGUUGGUAUUUUUGGUUUCAUGUACUAUUGGGAUCUGACCCUUAGCUCUGUAACAAUGAUACACCUUGUAAUGAGCGUCGGCUUUUCAGUAGACUUCGCUGUACAUAUUUGCCAUUCAUUUCUAUCUUCAAGGUCAGAAAAAGAAGUGCUCAAAUCUGCCCUUGAUAAAUCUGGAGGACCAGUAUUUAAUGCUGCAUUUUCGUCCUUGCUUGGUAUCGUUAUGCUAUUCUUUUCCGAGAGUUAUAUAUUUCAGUCCUUUGGAAAAGUAAUGCUCCUUGUUAUAAGUUUUGGACUUGUUCACGCGGUAUUUUUUCUACCGCUUCUGUUAGACGUUCUUAUGCUUUCAAUGAAAUGGAAACAAUUUGAAACUAGGAAAACCAACGACGAAGAAACUCAUUUAAAUACUACAGAAUUAUAAGAUAUUAUUUCGUCGUCUUGUAUCUCUACAUACAUGUUUUUUUUUUCAAAAUAAAUAUUGUAAUGUUACUUUGUAUCGUAAUCUCUUAUGUUUAAUAUAUAGACCUUUAUUUUUAUAUUCUUGAUUUAAUUGUUGUAGCGAUAUUGUUUUCACCAAAAAUCAAAAUGGGAAAAAUUGAUUUACAGUUGACAACAUAAUUGAAUUACUUUAGAAGGUAUAGCUACAAUGUAUGUGUAUGACUAAAAUCAUCGUAUGAAAAAAAAACAACAUUAUUAUGGUGCAAUUUCUAUACACAUCCUGUUUUUGUACCAAUGUUAUACUACGACCUUAUUAUAAAAUGUAGAAGGAUUUUUUUUUAUUAUCUGUCAAUUUUACAAUCCUAUUGAAAUUGUACUUAUAUUGAUAUUGUACUUAUAUUGCUAAAAUUUUGUUUGAGUUAUUUUUUUUUAAAGAAAAUGGUUAUGAUUAGAUAAACAACACUCAUCAAAAUCAAGCAUUUGAUAAAGUUAAAUAGUGGGUUGCUUUGCUCUGUUGGGCUUGAGAAAGAUAUGAAUUUAUCGUUUUGGUCAAGCUUUUCGUUUUUAAUCCGCACAAGAUUUAUUGUCCCUUAUUGUUUAAAAGGGUUUGCACAAAGGAUUUGGAGCGGGGAAACUCACAUGUUUUACUUGUAUAUGGUCCAAUUUUAUUAUUUGCAAUACUAAAAAAUUGUUUUCGCAAAAUGGAACCCAAAAUCAAACUGUAUGGCAAAACCCGGUAAAAUAUAUAAACAUAAAUUCUGUUAAAAUUCUUGAUAAAUUGUGAAAGUUGUGACUCUAAAUUAUUAAAGUUAUACUGUCAAUUCUAAUACCUUACUAUUCUAUGAGUAUAUGCUUUUACUUACCUCCACAAAAAAACAUGUUUGAAUGUGUAUAUUUUACACGUUACAAAUAUCAUUGUCACAUCAAAUUCAUUGUAUUUUACUGAACAUAAAUUAAAUAAUAUUAUAACAUAAAGACAAUAUAGGGCUAAUUUUGAACAACUGAUCAAAUAUGUUAACAAUAUAAAAAUAUGUAUUGUAAAGAAGUAAAGGGACCCGUAUCAAAAACAACAAAGUCUUAAAGGCAAAAAAUUAGAAGACAAGAAAAAGUUAAAAAUAUUUUCGAUUGUUCAAUCGCGUUAAUGAACGAUAUUCUAAGAUUUUUAGAUUAUUUCACAGGCUCAUCGGGAUUAAAAAUUAACUAUCCAAAAAACAAAAAAUUGUUUUGAUUAAGAGUAAGCAAUUUUCAAAACAUGUAUUUCACUACAUGUAUACAAGAUGGAAAUUAAAUUGGGAAAAUCCAACCUUUGUUAUAUUGGAAUUCAAAUUCUAGAUAAAAUGUCUUGCCUUACUAAUGAGCCUUAACUGUCAGAAAUAACAAAAUUAAAAUAAAAGGGCAUAAAUUUUGAGAAGCGGUUUUUAAAAAAAUGAAAUGCAAGUGAAAUUUGAGAAAGACUCAAUUCUGCUUGGAAAAUAUUAAGGGUGAAAUUUGUUUAAAGUGCUUAAUCUUCUAAUUCUUAUAAUAAAGCAAUAUAUAAUUGCAAACAGAUAUAAAAAAAUGUUCCAGAAUUGAGUUUGUGCAUUUAAAAAUAUAAUAUAAAGCAGAAUAUCUGUAGAAAAAUAUAUUUUGCUCCAAAACUAUAAAUUUGCAGAGUGAGAGGUACCGGCAAAAAUUAUGUGACAUAUCACCAUGUCAUGAUAAUUGUAUUUACAAGACUAACCCCCUACUUCUUUUCAAGAAUUUCUAUCUAUUAUUUCUUUAUAACUGCCUUUUUCUACAUUUCACAAACAGUGUAUAAGGCUAUGUACAAGUCUAAAUGAGUUAAAUGUGUAUUAUGUUAUAUAACACGAAUUGACUUGUAUUCUCAUAUUUU